GAUGAACGCUGGCGGCGUGCCUAAUACAUGCAAGUCGAGCGAACAGACGAGGAGCUUGCUCCUCUGACGUUAGCGGCGGACGGGUGAGUAACACGUGGAUAACCUACCUAUAAGACUGGGAUAACUUCGGGAAACCGGAGCUAAUACCGGAUAAUAUAUUGAACCGCAUGGUUCAAUAGUGAAAGACGGUUUUGCUGUCACUUAUAGAUGGAUCCGCGCCGCAUUAGCUAGUUGGUAAGGUAACGGCUUACCAAGGCAACGAUGCGUAGCCGACCUGAGAGGGUGAUCGGCCACACGGGAACUGAGACGCGGUCCAGACUCCUACGGGAGGCAGCAGUAGGGAAUCUUCCGCAAUGGGCGAAAGCCUGACGGAGCAACGCCGCGUGAGUGAUGAAGGUCUUCGGAUCGUAAAACUCUGUUAUGAGGGAAGAACAAAUGUGUAAGUAACUAUGCACGUCUUGACGGUACCUAAUCAGAAAGCCACGGCUAACUACGUG
rnacentral:rRNA from 1 species